UAGCAGUGGAGACUGUGACUGCAUUGUAACAGUGGAGACUGUGACUACAUUGUAACAGUGGAGUCUGUGAUUACAUUGUAACAGUGGAGACUGUGAGUACAUUGUAACUGUGGAUACUGUGAGUACAUUGUUAACAGUGGAGACUGUGAGUACAUUGUAACAGUGGAGACUGUGAGUGCAUUGUAACAGUGGAGACUGUGAGUGCAUUGUAACAGUGGAGAUUGUGAGUACAUUGUUAACAGUGGAGACUGUGAGUACAUUGUAACAGUGGAGACUGUGAGUGCAUUGUAACAGUGGAUACUGUGAGUACAUUGUAGCAGUGGAGACUGUGAGUACAUUGUAACUGUGGAGACUGUGAGUACAUUGUAACAGUGGAGACUGUGAGUACAUUGUAACAGUGGAUACUGUGAUUGCAUUGUAACAGUGGAGACUGUGAGUGCAUUGUAACAGUGGAGUCUGUGAGUACAUUGUAACUCUGGAGAUUGUGACUACAUUGUAAUAGUGGAGACGGUGAGUACAUUGUAACUCUUCACAGGCCAUGAUUUUUUUUCUCCCUCAAAUCCUGUAGCUACAGAUAGAGCUCGAUGUCUGGGCCAAGGGACUUUCCCCAAUUACCAGUAAAAUGCACAU
rnacentral:lncRNA from 1 species